CCAAAACCAACUUUAAUUUUUGCAGUGCAAAUCAGCAAAAACACAGCAUUAACAGAUGGUAUGUUUGUUUUUAAAUUUAGUUACAUAGGGUGUAAAGUGGGCAUGUCUUGAGGUCACAUAAUCUAAAAUAUAAUGUGCAAUUUUAAGAGAACCAAACUGGCACAAACGAACAUUGUUGUGGCACAAAUCAGCAAAAACAUAGCACAAAUAAAUGGU